GACGAACGCUGGCGGCGCGCUUAACACAUGCAAGUCGAGCGAGAACCAGGCCUUCGGGCCUGGGGACAGCGGCGAACGGGUGAGUAACACGUGGGUAAUCAACCCUCGACACUGGGAUAGCCCGGGGAAACCCGGAUUAAUACCGGAUGGCCCUUCGGAUCCUCUGAUCCGGAGGAAAAUGUAGCUUCGGCCUCCGGUCGAGGACGCGCACGCGGCGGAUUAGAUUGUUGGUGAGGUAACGGCUCACCAAGGCGGCGAUCCGUAGCUGGUCUGAGAGGACGAGCAGCCACACUGGGACUGAGAAACGGCCCAGACUCCUACGAGAGGCAGCAGGGGGGAAUCGUGCGCUAAUGCGGGAAACCGUGACGCAGCGACGCCGGGGGAGGGAAGAAGGCCUUCGGGUUGUAAACCUCUUUCAGGAGGGACGAAGCUACUCGGGUGAAUAGCCCAGAGGGUGACGGUACCUCCAGAAGAAGCCCCGGCUAACUACGUGCCAGCCGCCGCCGUAACAC
rnacentral:rRNA from 1 species